GCCGCCUUAGCUCAGUUGGUAGAGCAUCGGUUUUGUAAACCGACGGUCGCCGGUUCGAGUCCGGCAGGCGGCU
rnacentral:tRNA from 1 species